AGGGGGUCAGUGUAGUCAGGUGAUAUGGUGAUGGGGAAGGGGGAUGGAGGGGGGUCAGUGUAGUCAGGUGAUAUUGUGAUGGGGAUGGAGGGGGGUCAGUGUAGUCAGGUGAUAUGGUGAUGGAGAAGGGGGAUGGAGGGGGGUCAGUGUAGUCAGGUCAUAUUGUGAUGGGGAUGGAGGGGGGUCAGUGUAGUCAGGUGAUAUGGUGAUGGAGAAGGGGGAUGGAGGGGGUCAGUGUAGUCAGGUGAUAUGGUGAUGGGGAAGGGGGAUGGAGGGGGUCAGUGUAGUCAGGUGAUAUGGUGAUGGGGAAGGGGGAUGGAGGGGGUCAGUGUAGUCAGGUGAUAUGGUGAUGGGGAAGGGGGAUGGAGGGGGUCAGUGUAGUCAGGUGAUAUGGUGAUGGUGAAGGGGGAUGGAGGGGGGUCAGUGUAGUCAGGUGAUAUGGUGAUGGAGAAGGGGGAUGGAGGGGGUCAGUGUAGUCAGGUGAUAUGGUGAUGGGGAAGGGGGAUGGAGGGGGGUCAGUGUAGUCAGGUGAUAUGGUGAUGGGGAAGGGGGAUGGAGGGGGUCAGUGUAGUCAGGUGAUAUGGUGAUGGGGAUGGAGGGGGGUCAGUGUAGUCAGGUGAUAUGGUGAUGGGGAAGGGGGAUGGAGGGGGGUCAGUGUAGUCAGGUGAUAUGGUGAUGGGGAAGGGGGGAUGGAGGGGGGUCAGUGUAGUCAGGUGAUAUGGUGAUGGGGAAGGGGGAUGGAGGGGGGUCAGUGUAGUCAGGUGAUAUUGUGAUGGGGAAGGGGGAUGGAGGGGGGUCAGUGUAGUCAGGUGAUAUUGUGAUGACAAAUGGCAUCAGAACACAAGGUGACCUGAAAUGUAGUCGACCUGGAACGCAAGGUGACUUGUAUAAUGAUGCCGUUGAUAUCAGUAGCCAAUAAGCUGUUCAUCCAUCUGCCUCGGAGUCGGGGGAGGUUUUUACCAAUUACAAUAUUGG